UGCUGACCCCAGGGGAGAUCUGUCUCUAUGCUCCUAAGAUUGUGCUUCAUGUUGGGAUUUCAGGGUAUGCUUCUUUACCCUUCAAAUCCAGUCUCUGAGACCCGGCUUGCUUCAAACAGAUCCUGUACUAAGACUCAGGGCAUGAAGACAGCCAGCCACAGGCCAGACCUCAGAGAAAUCCGUAGUCCUACCCAAGCUGUCUCUGGUGAGGCAGACUUUCAGCAGCUUCUGGCCACUGGGCUGAGGAAACUCGGAGACUAUAAUAAUGGUAUUACAGAAGGAAUAAGCAUUUCAAGAUGUUCCUGCCUCUACCUCUCAAGUGCUGGGAUUAGAGGAGUAAGCCAUUUUAUCCAGUUUACAGCACAGUGGUUGAAUACCAAGUGUUGUGCGCACAAGCAUGCUAAGCAACAGAGCUACCAGCCCAGGCCAUGUACUGUUCCUUGUGCAAUCGUAAUGCUGGAAUGUUGUCAAACCACAGAGAGCUGAGGACCACUCGCAUCUCCCGACACUGACAUCUGGAUGCUUGAAACCAUCAUAGGCUCUUUCUGGAAAGGUCAAAUAUGAAAAUUCAUUUAUGAAACAAGGCUCACUGUGAGAUCAGCAAGAGGUCCAGAUCUGAGAUCAGACCCGCCUAGCUGUGGAACACUUGGUGGUGGACAUUGGACAGAGGCAGCAGCUGCCCUGGGAGUCUGACUCCCUCAGAGUCUCUGGUGGGGUCCCAGUCAAACAGUGUCAUGUGCCCAUAACCAGGAACUUCACACUUCAGACCCAGAGUGCCUUGAAUCUAUUUUUAAAGGCGUCAGAAAUGAGGUUCUAAAGUGAAACCUCCUGACUUGCAAAUGCUAGCGACCAAUCGCUUCUUUCCAAAACCUGUUUUGAAUAAACCGGACUCGCCUGCAGGCCACGUUGGGGCUCAUCUGGUCAAGCCCAGUCUACUCCCAAAGGACCUGUUUGGUUUGGCAGGGAGUUCUUUCUGGAACCUACCUUCCCCUCAAGGCAUUCGCAGAGAGCUACCCCGUUCUGAGACGACAAAGCCCCAGGGCCCAUCCAAGCGAGCCUAAAGAGCCAGCCCACCUCCGUCAUAGAUUUAAAGGCCACUCUGUAGUAAAGAGAAACCGGGCUUUAUUCCUGUUUACGGUUAAAUCUGUUUCUCAAGAAUUGGGUUAUGCCCCAACUGUAAAUUUAACUACAAAUGACUCUGUACUGCCUGUUCCAGGAAAUGGCAACCGUGUCUUUGUUUCAAAGAGAUAUUUAUAACUAUCUUGCAACCCUAAAGGUUAAAUGACCCCCUAUCACGACCUUAUUAUGACUAUCUGUUGUGAUAGCCUUGUUGUGACUAUUGUGUUCUGCUCCUGUAACCCUGCAAAAAAAAAACAAAAAAAAAAAACAAACAAAAAAAAAAACAACAACAACAACCUACCCCUGAGGAUAAUGGCUAAUUAAAAAGGUGCACAGAAGGGACUGGGAGAUGGCUCAGCGGUUAAGAGCACUGACUGCUCUUCCAGAAGUCCUGAGUUCAAAUCCCAGCAACCACAUGGUAGCUCACAACCAUCUGUAAUGGGAUCCGAUGCCCUCUUCUGGUGUGUCUGAAGACAGUG
rnacentral:lncRNA from 1 species